AUGGCCAGCCACCUCAUGCUCAACAAUGGCACCAAGAUGGCCAUCCUGGGACUGGGCAUCUGAAUGUCCCCUCCAGGCCAGGUGACCAAGGCUGUGAAGGUGGCGAUUGAUAUCAGGUACCGCCACAUCCACUGAGCCCAGGUACGAGAAUGAGAAUGAGAUAGGGGUGGCCAUUCAGGAGAAGCUCAGGGGGCAGAUGGUGAAGCGUGAGGAGCUCUUCAUCAUCAGCAAACUCUGGUGCACAUACCAUGGGAAGGGCCUGGUGAAAGGAGCCUGUCAGAAGAUGCUCAGUGACCUUAAGCAGGGCUACCUGGACUACUACCUUGUUCACUGGCCAGCCAGCUUUAAGCGUGGGAAGGAAUCCUUCCCAUUGGAUGAGUCAGGCAACAUGGUUCCCAGUGACACUGACAUUGUGGACACACGGGUGGCCAUGAAGAGCUGGUGGAUGAAGGGCUGGUGAAAGCUACUGGCAUCUCCACCUUCAACCAUCUCCAGGUUGAGAGGAUCUUAAACAAACCUGGGUUAAAGUAUAAGCCAGCAGUUAACCAAAUGGAGUGCCACCUGUGCCUCACACAGAAGUUAAUCCAGUACUGCCACUCUAAAGGCAUUAUGGUGACUGCCUGUAGUCCCCUUGGCUCUCCUGACAGCCUCUGGGCCAAGGCUGAGGACCCUUCCCUCCUGGAGGAUCCCAAGAUCAAGGCAAUCAUAGCCAGGUGAUCAUAGCCAGGCGAUCCAGGUUUGGAUCCGGUUCCCCAGGCAGAGGAACUUGAUGGUGAUCCCCAGGUCUGUGAUACCAGAAUGCACUGCUGAGUCACAGACUUUGAACCAAGCAGCCAGGAUAUUACCAUCUUAUUCAGCUACAACAAGAACUGGAGGGUCUGUGCCUUGGUAAGCUGUGCCUCUUAUAAGGAUUACCUCUUCCAUGCAGAGUUUU
rnacentral:lncRNA from 1 species